rnacentral:rRNA from 1 species
AUUGAACGCUGGCGGCAGGCCUAACACAUGCAAGUCGAGCGAGCGGCGGACGGGUGAGGAAUGUCUGGGAAACUGCCUGAUGGAGGGGGAUAACUACGGGAAACGGUAGCUAAUACCGCAUACCAUCAGAUGUGCCCAGAUGGGAUUAGCUAGUAGGUGGGGUAACGGCCCACCUAGGCGACGAUCCCUAGCUGGUCUGAGAGGAUGCCCAGACACACUGGAACUGAGCCACGGUCCAGACGCCGACGGGAGGCAGCAGUGGUGAAUAUGGGACAAGGGGCGCAAGCCUGAUUCAGCCAUGCCGCGUGUGUGAAGAAGGCCUUCGGGUUGUAAAGCACUUUCAGCGGGGAGGCGUUACCCGCAGAAGAAGCACCGGCUAACUCCGUGCCAGCAGCCGCGGUAAUUC